UGCGUCAAUGUGGAUACCGAAGAUUACAGAGGUCAGUGAAGGUAGCUCCGAAGAUAGUGUUCCUGUUCAGAGACCAGAGGGGUUCAGUGCAGUCAUCGCGGACGCGAUACUCCCUCACCGUUGGUUCAGAUGGUUAAAUUAGCUAUUUGAGUCCGGUGGGCUCUGCUUUCGCUGAGUUCCCUCGUCACCAGACAAGAAAAGACUACCAGUUCAGUGCUGUGUAAUCUGCUAGAUGUGUUUGGGGAAGUUCAGCUAGCACAGAUAAAAGUUAGAAAUCUCACCAACACAAAUUUCUUUUCUCCAUUAGCUGAGCAGCUGAUUUGGAGCUUCGUUUCACUGAUUUUUGUGGAAGGAAGGUGUCAUUGACUCUUGACAUAACAUGUUUGAAAUGUGGAAUUUAUCCUUCUGAGAGCCUUGCAUAUCAGUAAUAGGUUUCCAAUACCGAGACUUUAGAGUCACUGGACGAGCGUUUUGCAGCUGAAAUAAGUGCUGCAAUCAAUCAUCUUAGAGUGGGUUAUUCAAGAAUUACAUGGCUUUGUAAGUAUAGGUGAUUAGUGUUUCAACUCCACUGGAUCAGUAUUCCAUUUUUUUCUCUCAUCUGGCGCCAGCCUGGAUUAGGGCGCUGCGAGGGUAGAGGGGAUGGUACGUUGCAUGUAUACCCAACAGGUUUCGGACUUGUUUAUGCCGUGAAGUUGCCUCAGUUAUAUUUCUCAGGAGGUGGGUUGUGAGGUUUGGUGAUUCCUGUAAAUACUUGUUAUUGAAGUACCUUCAAGGUUAAUCCAGGUUAAUGUGGCGCGGGGUUGAUGGGUGAAUUGAAUUAAUCUGCGAACCAUUUUGUGGAUUAAUCUGGCCAUUUUGAUGCUUGUUUAGGGUUAAUUCGGUGCUAUCCUUGACAAGCUCAGUGAUGGGAUUAGCAAGUAACAGUUGGAGAUAUGCCAUGACAUCCUGGAACCAAAAGCUUCUCAACCACAUAAUUUACCUGGGUUGUCUGAAGAUCUAAUGCCAUAAUAUUGGCAUUUGAUGAUUAAUAGUUCUGUUUUGUUUGGUAUUGACUCCUUAAUAGUUAAUAGUAGUUUUAAGUGGACCACCUUGAUGUGGAAGUUAUGGUUUAAUAUAUUGGCGAAAUUAUUUUUUUUUCCUUUUUU